GAUUAUUUAGGAGACAGAGAAGUAUAAUCCAUAUCUGGUCACCAGGAUUAUAUGGAGUCAAUGGUGAAUCCGACCUAAAUCUUU
rnacentral:ncRNA from 2 species